rnacentral:rRNA from 1 species
UACGUAGGGUGCGAGCGUUAAUCGGAAUUACUGGGCGUAAAGCGUGCGCAGGCGGUUCGUUGUGUCGGUGGUGAAAUCCCCGGGCUUAACCUGGGAAUGGCCAUGGAAACUGGCGAACUGGAGUGCGGCAGAGGGGGGUGGAAUUCCGCGUGUAGCAGUGAAAUGCGUAGAGAUCGGGAGGAACAUCAGUUGCGAAGGCGGCCACCUGGACCAGCACUGACACUGAGGCACGAAAGCGUGGGGAGCAAACAGG